CAAUUCCUUUUAUACAUUGUAUAGUUUCUUCUUAUAGUGUUAUAGUUUUUUCAAUGAUAUGAUUGUGAUUUAAAAUGGUAUGGAGAGCUGCAAAGAUAUGUUUGAUCUAAAUUCCAAAAGGAGCAACCAGGAGCAGCUAUGCUAAUUGUUACUCCCUAUAAGAUGCAUUUAGAUUUUAUUUAUUUUGCCACUUCCCUUAUUGUUAUAUCACUGAAUUAUCCUCUAGACUUAUUAUAUUUGUAAAUGCUCUUGAUGAAUUUUUUUCAUAUUAGGGAAGUUAUUAAUUAUCUCUAAUUUGUUUUAAUUGGAACUCUUACAAUACAAAUAUGUAAGUACAUAUAUGUAAUUGCAGGUACAGAGCUAUAGCCAUGCUUAGCAUGCCAUCAACCUCAUUGAAAUUUAUGUUGCAUAAAGGAUAUAAGAAAGUUGUGUUGUUUUCACCUUGCAAUGGCAAAGACAAGAUUUAGCAAAAUAAGUACAGCAUCCAAAGUUUUAUUCAGCAAAAAUAUAAUCAGGAUGAGAUUUUGAUUGGUUUCUCAUGUCAGGUGGUUUCUUUUACCCAAAUUUGUGUUGUGGACUUUUAUUAUUGCCCAUAAUCCAUCCUAUGAUCCUUGCUUGACACUUGAGGUUAGAAGAAAAGGAGAGAGCCCCCCUUUUAAAAUUUUUUUUUUAUUCCAUAGCUAUUUUCAACCAGACAAGACUUUGUUUUUGGGCAUUAAUUGUAAGGCCAUGAAAGUUCUUAAAUUGAAGGAUUUACAUUGGCAACUGCUUAUUCUUAACUUAAAUUUGUUAAGAUU